rnacentral:rRNA from 1 species
GAUGAACGCUGGCGGCGUGCCUAAUACAUGCAAGUCGAGCGAACAGACGAGGAGCUUGCUCCUCUGACGUUAGCGGCGGACGGGUGAGUAACACGUGGAUAACCUACCUAUAAGACUGGGAUAACUUCGGGACACCGGAGCUAAUACCGGAUAAUAUAUUGAACCGCAUGGUUCAAUAGUGAAAGACGGUUUUGCUGUCACUUAUAGAUGGAUCCGCGCCGCAUUAACUAGUUGGUAAGGUAACGGCUUACCAAGGCAACGAUGCGUAACCGACCAGAGAGGGCGGGCCGCCACACUGGGAGUGGAGCACGGGCCAGAAUCCUGCGGGGAGGAGCAGGAGGGAAUGUGCGGAAAUGGGCGAAAGGCUGAACGAGAAAAGCCGCGGGAGUGAAGAAGGUUUUCGGAUCGUAAAGAUCUGUUGUAAGAGAAAAACGAGUGUGAGAGUGGAAAGUCCACACUGUGACGGUAUCUAACCAGAAAGGGACGGCUAACUACGUG